rnacentral:snoRNA from 1 species
UGUCCCUGAUGAAAAACCUAUUAUUCAGUUCUGCUUCUGAACAUAGUGAUGACAACCAUACCAUACCAAAAACUUUUCUGAUCC